AGGACGAACGCUGGCGGCGUGCUUAACACAUGCAAGUCGAGCGGAAAGGCCCUUCGGGGUACUCGAGCGGCGAACGGGUGAGUAACACGUGAGCAAUCUGCCCUUAGCUCUGGGAUAGCUCCGGGAAACCGGGAUUAAUACCAGAUAUGACCACUUUAGACAUCUGAUGUGGUGGAAAGAAUUUCGGCUAGGGAUGAGCUCGCGGCCUAUCAGCUUGUUGGUGGGGUAAUGGCCUACCAAGGCGACGACGGGUAGCCGGCCUGAGAGGGCGACCGGCCACACUGGGACUGAGACACGGCCCAGACUCCUACGGGAGGCAGCAGUGGGGAAUUUUGCGCAAUGGGGGAAACCCUGACGCAGCAACGCCGCGUGGAGGAUGAAGUCCCUUGGGACGUAAACUCCUUUCGACCCGGACGAUAAUGACGGUACGGGUGGAAGAAGCCCCGGCUAACUUCGCGCCAGCAGCCGC
rnacentral:rRNA from 1 species